UACGGGGGGGUAAGCGUUGUUCGGAAUUCCUGGGCGUAAAGGGCUCGUAGGCGGCCAACUAAGUCAUACGUGAAAUCCCUCAGCUUAACUGGGGAACUGCGUGUGAUACUGGAUGGCUUGGAUUUGGGAGAGGGAUGCGGAAUUCCAGGUGUAGCGGUGAAAUGCGUAGAUAUCUGGAGGAACACCGGUGGCGAAGGCGGCAUCCUGGACCAAUAUUGACGCUGAGGAGCGAAAGCCAGGGGAGCAAACGGG
rnacentral:rRNA from 1 species